rnacentral:rRNA from 1 species
GACGAACGCUGGCGGCGUGCUUAACACAUGCAAGUCGAACGGAAAGGCCCUGCUUUUGUGGGGUGCUCGAGUGGCGAACGGGUGAGUAACACGUGAGUAACCUGCCCUUGACUUUGGGAUAACUUCAGGAAACUGGGGCUAAUACCGGAUAGGAGCUCCUGCUGCAUGGUGGGGGUUGGAAAGUUUCGGCGGUUGGGGAUGGACUCGCGGCUUAUCAGCUUGUUGGUGGGGUAGUGGCUUACCAAGGCUUUGACGGGUAGCCGGCCUGAGAGGGUGACCGGCCACAUUGGGACUGAGAUACGGCCCAGACUCCUACGGGAGGCAGCAGUGGGGAAUAUUGCACAAUGGGCGGAAGCCUGAUGCAGCAACGCCGCGUGCGGGAUGACGGCCUUCGGGUGGUAAACCGCUUUCGCCUGUGACGAAGCGUGAGUGACGGUAAUGGGUAAAGAAGCACCGGCUAACUACAU